rnacentral:snRNA from 1 species
UAGAGCUCCCUUCAAUCC